CGCGUAGGCGGGUCUGUAAGUCAGAGGUGAAAUCCUGCGGCUUAACCGUAGAACUGCCUUUGAUACUGCAGAUCUUGAGUUCGGAAGGGAGAGGCGGAAUUCCAGGUGUAGUGGUGAAAUACGUAGAUAUCUGGAAGAACACCAGAGGCGAAGGCGGCCUCUUGGUCCGUAACUGACGCUGAGGCGCGAAAGCGUGGGGAGCAAACA
rnacentral:rRNA from 1 species